UUGAGGCGCGGCUUACCAUGCAGUCGAGCGGUAACAGGGGGUGCUUGCACCCCGCUGACGAGCGGCGGACGGGUGAGUAAUGCAUAGGAAUCUGCCCAGUAGUGGGGGAUAGCCCGGGGAAACCCGGAUUAAUACCGCAUACGCCCUUUGGGGGAAAGCAGGGGAUCUUCGGACCUUGCGCUAUUGGAUGAGCCUAUGUCGGAUUAGCUAGUUGGUGGGGUAAAGGCCUACCAAGGCGACGAUCCGUAGCUGGUCUGAGAGGAUGAUCAGCCACAUCGGGACUGAGACACGGCCCGAACUCCUACGGGAGGCAGCAGUGGGGAAUAUUGGACAAUGGGGGCAACCCUGAUCCAGCCAUGCCGCGUGUGUGAAGAAGGCUUUCGGGUUGUAAAGCACUUUCAGUGAGGAGGAAAACCUUCUGGUUAAUACCCAUGAGGCUUGACGUUACUCACAGAAGAAGCACCGGCUAACUCCGUGCCAGCAGCCGCGGUAAUACGGAGGGUGCAAGCGUUAAUCGGAAUUACUGGGCGUAAAGCGCGCGUAGGUGGUUUGAUAAGCGAGAUGUGAAAGCCCCGGGCUUAACCUGGGAACGGCAUUUCGAACUGUCAGG
rnacentral:rRNA from 1 species